GUGCCUAGACAAAAUCUGCUCCUUGUCGUGUGCAGUAACCAUCGCAAACCCUCCGGACUUGUGUAACGCCGUUAGUUCGCCGUGUGUUUCGUGCGAUCUACCAGUGUCGACAGUGAGUGUCUUACUACAGCGCCCGCCCGAGCUGCCUUUGUUCUGCCGAGCUGCCUGCCCGCGCUCUCGUGAAAAGUCUGGUACUGGAGCUUCGAAUCGUAGUGUAUGGAAGACUGUUGAAGGUUGUGCUUUUGUGGAGCUGGAGUUCAUCGGAAGUUCUACAGUGCUUGCGCCAGAAAAACGUCGGUGCCUCGGUACCUUUGAGACGAAGGAGCGUUGGCCAAGUCUUUUUGAAAGGCUAUGCGGAUUCUGGAGGCAUCCCUACAUCAAGCAGGAACCUGCUGCACUGCUGGAAGCUGGACAGCACGACAAUAAAGCACGUGAUCUGUGUGCUUUCUCAAAGGUAGACAUCGGCGACGGUGUAUAUGUUGAAAAGUGCCUGCUGAAGAGGCU
rnacentral:lncRNA from 1 species